AGGUAUAUUAGGGGGAGGGGGUUGCUCCGAGAGGACCCUCCACGGUGGGAUGGGAUAAUCAAGGUAUGGAUGUUCUGACCCUAGCACGGGUCCCCCUCGUGUCACAGCCUCGGUUAGGUUGUACGUUCCAAACGUCAGGGUAGCAGAGGCAACCGGACUGGGUUACAGUUGGUAAGAAAAGGUACCAGAUUUGUGGGACGAAUAAUGCAAACGGACUAAACCUGGCCUCGGGUUUGAGCGAGGCUGGGUGGACCGGUAAGGGAAACCUCAAACACUAGUGGGCUGUCCGAUAACGGGAAAGGUCUGUGAGCAGAAUUCGAUCUCAUAUUUCUGGUACCCUCCAGGUUGUGGUCGGGCUAAGAGAAGGUGGCAGAUUUGGAUGCUAUUGACACGGGCCCCCUCGUGUCAUGGCUUCCCGAUGUUCUGUGCGAAACGUAUACCGGGUUGCAGCGGUAUACGAAAAGUUGCCUUGAGGUCAUGACAAUGGCCUCCCGCCCCUGAAAAAGGGGCUCGGGAAUGACCCGGUGUUAUGACCCGAACGUAAUAGCUCCCGAGGCUGCAAGACCGGGUUAGGGCCCUGAACGGAAGGGUGCUAGAUUUGCGGGAUGAAUGAUGGAAACGGACUUAUCCGGCCUCGGGUUUGAGCGAGGCUGGGUAGACCGGUAAGGGAAAACUCAAACACGAGUGGGCUGUCCGAUAAUGGGAAAUGUCCGUGACAAAUUCGAUCUCAUAUUUCGGUACCCAUCCAGGUGUGGUCGGGCUCAGAGAUGGUGGCAGAUUGGGAUAUGCUAUUGACACGGGCCCCUCGUAUCAUGGCGUCCUGAUGUUCUGUCCCAAGCGUAUACCGGGUUGCAGCGGUAUACGAAAAGUUGCCUUGAGGUCAUGACAAUGGCCUCCCCCUCCCCCUCUGAAAAUAGGGGCUCAGGAAUGACAUGACGUUACGUCGUGAACGUAGUGGUUCCUGAGGCUGCAAGACCGGGUUAGGGCCGUGAAUGGAAAGGUGCCAGAUUUGUGGGACGAAUGAUGGAAAUGGACUUGUCCUGGCCUCGGGUUUGAGCAAGGCCAGGUAGCUGGGUAAGGAAAAAUCUCAAACAUGAGUGGGCUGUCCGAUAACGGGAAAUGGCCGUGAACAGAAUUUGAUCACAUAUUUCCGGUAACUAACCAGAUGCGGUCGGGUUAUGAUGUUGCCGUGCUAUGCAGACCUUUGGUCAUCAUCCAUAACGUAGACUGAUCGUGUGCUGCAUGAUUGGAUGCUUGGACAGUUUGAUCAUUGUGACUGCUCGCACAUGAGUUGUGGUGGACUUGUUGCUGCUGGGAGGCCCCCCGUCUUUGCACGGCCGACUCUCUGUGCCCUGUCCUUUCAUUGUUAUGGUCUUUUGGUCCAUGCCACUAAUGAGAGCUUGCAUUAUGCUACCUGUCUAUUGAGAAGUAUGCUUCCAUUCAUCGUGCCUUUAUGUCGCAUUUGUCCAUUGGGCUUGUUGCGUCAGCCAUGUAGCCUUUUGCGGAGUAUCAUUGCUGUAUUGGCUAACUUGUCUGAUACGGUUAAUGAUGCAUCACAAAUUGCUUCUGGUCUUGGAUGCCGCUGAUUUUAUAGGUUCUUGGCUUGUGCUAUGUUCCUGAAAACAGUCCCUCCAGAAACAGGACGGUUGGCUCAGCUUUAAUCAUUGUUCGACCCUCGUGGUCUUGCAUGGUUGGUAGCUGCGUCCAGCUUGUCAAAGAGGAUGUGC
rnacentral:misc_RNA from 1 species